rnacentral:rRNA from 1 species
AGCGGUGGCUGUACCUGUUUGACAUCUCUGAAGCUAAUCAUAGUUGGGUCUUGUUAGUACUCGGAUGGGAGACUGCUGGGAAUACCAGGUGACACGGGGG